rnacentral:rRNA from 1 species
AACGAACGCUGGCGGCAUGCCUAACACAUGCAAGUCGAACGAGACCUUCGGGUCUAGUGGCGCACGGGUGCGUAACGCGUGGGAAUCUGCCCUUGGGUUCGGAAUAACUCAGAGAAAUUUGAGCUAAUACCGGAUGAUGACGAAAGUCCAAAGAUUUAUCGCCCAGGGAUGAGCCCGCGUAAGAUUAGCUUGUUGGUGGGGUAAUGGCCUACCAAGGCGACGAUCUUUAGCUGGUCUGAGAGGAUGAUCAGCCACACUGGGACUGAGACACGGCCCAGACUCCUACGGGAGGCAGCAGUGGGGAAUAUUGGACAAUGGGCGCAAGCCUGAUCCAGCAAUGCCGCGUGAGUGAUGAAGGCCUUAGGGUUGUAAAGCUCUUUUACCAGGGAUGAUAAUGACAGUACCUGGAGAAUAAAGCUCCGGCUAACUCCGUG